ACCAGCAGCCACAUCACCCUGCAGCUCACGGUUUGCAGCCCACUGAAGCUCAACAGGUGUGAGCCCGGUCAGUACCUGGAGGGGAGACUCCUGGGAAAAACCAAGGCUGCUGCUGGAA
rnacentral:rRNA from 1 species